rnacentral:rRNA from 1 species
CUGUGAAGCAUCCUGUUAAGUCAGGCAACGAGCGAGACCCACGUCCACAGUUGCCAGCAUACCCUCCGGGGUGAUGGGUACACUGUGGAGACCGCCGCUGCUAAAGCGGAGGAAGGAGUGGGCAACGGUAGGUCAGUAUGCCCCGAAUCUCCCGGGCUACACGCGGGCUACAAUGGUUGGUACAAUGGGCAUCUACCCCGAAAGGGGAAGGAAAUCUCUUAAAGCCAAUCGUAGUUCGGAUUGAGGGCUGCAACUCGCCCUCAUGAAGCUGGAAUCCGUAGUAAUCGCGUUUCAACAGAACGCGGUGAAUACGUCCCUGCUCCUU